UGCAGAUGAUGUGAAUGAAUAUUUGCUAUCUGAGCAUCAGUGCUGAGAUAUACCCACCAAGAUCUCUGAUGCA